CUUUCCAGACAGACUCCGGGGCCCUCAACUGGUCUCCGACCUUCCCCUGCAACCUGCGACACCUGCCAUUUUCCCAUCUUAGGCUCCAGAAGCAGAAUCAAGUGGGAUGUCUUGGAAGAAAAACAAACAAAAGGCCCACUAGGUGGAGUGAAAUGGAUCAGGAGCAAUUAUGUUCAAUUUCACCUUUAAGUUUUCUCAAAAGGAGGAGCAUUAAGAAUCAGCCACCUUAGUACAUACUUAAAGGCUAGCACACAUGAUUUUUUCUGCUUGCACUUCAGGAGAAGAUAGUCAUUGGACAAAAGUCCACAGGUCGAGAGGAACCAUACUUGAAGAAACAUACCUGAAGGGUUUCAUCCAUAUGUGGGCCUGAUUUGGAUGAUAAAAUCCUGCAUCUUGAGCCUGAUCUUGAUGCUGCCUGUGUUCUGAUGCCAUCAGGAGUUGAGAGUCUAGGGGUUUUAGAAAGGGUGAAUGUAUUUUCCCAUAGGCAAGGAACAUAAUCAAUGGCCAAAAUGUGCACUGUGACAGAUUAAAGGUUGCUACAAAUUCUCUGAUACCCUUCCAUUAAGAGGUAGGGCAGAUAUUCCCUCCCCUCAAAUCUGGGUGGGCUCCAUGACUUGCUUUGAUCAACAGAAAACGGCAGCAGUGAUGCUGGGCCAGUUGUUGGAUCCAGGCCUUAAGAACCAACAACUUCCACUUAAGUUCUCUUGGAACACUGAGUCCCUGACUACCCUAAUAUCAUGUUGGAAAGGCUACAUGUAGGCACUCUAGUUGCCAGUCCCAGCCAAGACCAGCUUUUCAGCCAUCCCCAUCACUAAAUUUGUAAAUGAAGCCAUCUGGAAUCUCCAGACCAGCUCAUUUGGCAGCUGGGUAUCAUCAAGUUAUCUCUGCUGACUCCACAUGGAACAAAGGAAUCACCCAGCUGAGCCCUAUUCAAACUAUUGACCAAAAAAAUAGUGAGACAUAAUAAAAUGAUGUUUUAAGCCA
ensembl:lncRNA LINC02805 long intergenic non-protein coding RNA 2805